AGUGAACGCUGGCGGUAGGCCUAACACAUGCAAGUCGAACGGCAGCACAGUAAGAGCUUGCUCUUACGGGUGGCGAGUGGCGGACGGGUGAGGAAUACAUCGGAAUCUACUUUUUCGUGGGGGAUAACGUAGGGAAACUUACGCUAAUACCGCAUACGACCUACGGGUGAAAGCAGGGGAUCUUCGGACCUUGCGCGAUUGAAUGAGCCGAUGUCGGAUUAGCUAGUUGGCGGGGUAACGGCCCACCAAGGCGACGAUCCGUAGCUGGUCUGAGAGGAUGAUCAGCCACACUGGAACUGAGACACGGUCCAGACUCCUACGGGAGGCAGCAGUGGGGGAUAUUGGACAAUGGGCGCAAGCCUGAUCCAGCCAUACCGCGUGGGUGAAGAAGGCCUUCGGGUUGUAAAGCCCUUUUGUUGGGAAAGAAAAGCAGCAGGUUAAUACCCCGCUGUUCUGACGGUACCCAAAGAAUAAGCACCGGCUAACUUCGUG
rnacentral:rRNA from 1 species